rnacentral:snRNA from 1 species
CGGAACGGAGCAAUCCGG